GUCUGCGUAGCCCAUUGGAAGAGCCUCCGCCUCAUGAGCGGACAGCGAGGGUUCGAAUCCCUCCGCGGGCG
rnacentral:tRNA from 1 species